rnacentral:rRNA from 1 species
UACGGAGGGUGCAAGCGUUAUCCGGAUUCACUGGGUUUAAAGGGUGCGUAGGCGGGUAAGUAAGUCCGUGGUGAAAUCUCUGAGCUUAACUCAGAAACUGCCGUGGAUACUAUUUGCCUUGAAUAUUGUGGAGGUGAGCGGAAUAUGUUAUGUAGCGGUGAAAUGCUUAGAUAUGACAUAGAACACCAAUUGCGAAGGCAGCUCACUACACAAUCAUUGACGCUGAGGCACGAAAGCGUGGGGAUCAAACAGG